AAUAUCACGUAAAUAGAUUGACGGUAAUUAAAAAUGCCAACACCGACAUUUAUUCCAUCUAAUUGUCCGUCUAUUUAUGGGAUUUUUACUAUCAAAAGUAGGUAGUCGUUUUACCCCCCCGAAAAUUACGACGACAAAGAAUUAUGUCAGUUGUAAAAUUGUAGAGCUGCUUGUUUUUUUUUAAAUUUUCUAUAAAAUAAAUUCCGAAAAUGUUUAACAUCUUCCGAGAUAAUGAGUGCUUAACGAUAAAAUAAUCAUCCGGUAUUCCGUAGGUACACCGUACCGGGUGUGUACUGUACAUCGGUACUACCACCUAUGCAUUAUUCAUCGUCCGAACGUUUAAAUAUUAUAAUAAUAUUAUAAUGUGUAGGCGGUUUUUUUUUUUACACUACUGGUUUCUUCUUCGUCGCGUUACCAGCAGGUACCUGCCUAUAUACUCGUAUAAUAAUUAGUCAAUUACCGACAUUGUGUUUUUACACUGUACACGCGAUAAUAUUUGUUAUAAUAAAGCCGGUGCACAAGAGCUCCAUCUCACGCACGCACAAUAUUAUCGG